GGUGGAGUGACCGAGAGGCUAGGUUGCGGUCCGCACGACCGUGUACGCAGGUUCGAAUCCUGCCUCCACCU
rnacentral:tRNA from 1 species